CUGGCGGCGUGCCUAACACAUAGCAAGUCGAACGGAGAAUUACGCUGAUGAAGCUUCGGCAGAUUCUUGUAAAUUCUUAGUGGCGGACGGGUGAGUAACGCGUGGGCGAACCCUGCCUCAGUACUGGGGGAGUAACAGCUGGAAACGACUGUUAAUACCGCAUAAGCGCACGGUAUCGCAUGAUACAGUGUGAAAAACUCCGGUGGUAUGAGAUGGGCCCGCGUCAGAUUAGCCAGUUGGCAGGGUAACGGCCUACCAAAGCGACGAUCUGUAGCCGGCCUGAGAGGGCGGACGGCCACAUUGGGACUGAGACACGGCCCAAACUCCUACGGGAGGCAGCAGUGGGGGAUAUUGCACAAUGGAGGAAACUCUGAUGCAGCGACGCCGCGUGAAGUGAAGAAGUAUUUCGGUAUGUAAAGCUCUAUCAGCAGGGAAGAAAGACUCGUAAGAGAGAUGACGGUACCUGACUAAGAAGCCCCGGCUAACUACGUGCCAGCAGCAGC
rnacentral:rRNA from 1 species